rnacentral:rRNA from 1 species
GGCCGCGGGAAUUCCUUUCAGGCCUAACACAUGCAAGUCGAGCGGUAGAGAGACCCUUGCUUCUCUUGAGAGCGGCGGACGGGUGAGUAAUGCCUAGGAAUCUGCCUGGUAGUGGGGGAUAACGUUCGGAAACGGACGCUAAUACCGCAUACGUCCUACGGGAGAAAGCAGGGGACCUUCGGGCCUUGCGCUAUCAGAUGAGCCUAGGUCGGAUUAGCUAGUUGGUGAGGUAAUGGCUCACCAAGGCGACGAUCCGUAACUGGUCUGAGAGGAUGAUCAGUCACACUGGAACUGAGACACGGUCCAGACUCCUACGGGAGGCAGCAGUGGGGAAUAUUGGACAAUGGGCGAAAGCCUGAUCCAGCCAUGCCGCGUGUGUGAAGAAGGUCUUCGGAUUGUAAAGCACUUUAAGUUGGGAGGAAGGGCAGUUACCUAAUACGUGAUUGUUUUGACGUUACCGACAGAAUAAGCACCGGCUAACUCUGUGCCAGCAGCCGCGGUAAUACAGAGGGUGCAAGCGUUAAUCGGAAUUACUGGGCGUAAAGCACGCGUAGGUGGUUAGUUAAGUUGGAUGUGAAAUCCCCGGGCUCAACCUGGGAACUGCAUUCAAAACUGACUGACUAGAGUAUGGUAGAGGGUGGUGGAAUUUCCUGUGUAGCGGUGAAAUGCGUAGAUAUAGGAAGGAACACCAGUGGCGAAGGCGACCACCUGGACUGAUACUGACACUGAGGUGCGAAAGCGUGGGGAGCAAACAGGAUUAGAUACCCUGGUAAUCCACCCCGUAAACGAUGUCAACUAACCCGUUGGGG